rnacentral:rRNA from 1 species
AUGUACAUUCCUACAUCAUAGUGUUAAUUCAAUGGAUCCCAUUAGAACUCCCCAGUUAAGUGCUCUCAGGCUAGAGUAGUAUUGGGAUGGGUGACCGCCUGGGAAUUCCUAGUGUUUUACAUA